rnacentral:rRNA from 1 species
UGGGCACUCUGGAGAGACUGCCAGGGAUAACCUGGAGGAAGGUGGGGAUGACGUCAAAUCAUCAUGCCCCUUAUGACCAGGGCUACACACGUGCUACAAUGGCGUAAACAAAGAGAAGCGAACUCGCGAGGGUAAGCAAAUCUCAAAAAUAACGUCUCAGUUCGGAUUGUAGUCUGCAACUCGACUACAUGAAGCUGGAAUCGCUAGUAAUCGCAGAUCAGAAUGCUGCGGUGAAUACGUUCCCGGGUCUUGUACACACCGCCCGUCACACCAUGGGAGUCAGUAACGCCCGAAGUCAGUGACCCAACCGUAAGGAGGGAGCUGCCGAAGGUGGGACCGAUAACUGGGGUGAAGUCGUAACAAGGUAGCCGUAUCGGAAGGUGCGGCUGGAUCACCUCCUUUCUAAGGAA